ACAGAGGGGUAACUCUAGCCUGUUUCACAAAGAGGGGUAACUUCAACUCUCGGUCAGUUACCGCAGUAACAGACUCUAUGACUCUAACCUGGUCACCAGCAGGUUUAUCUGAGAAAACCUCCAGUUUCUCUCCGUCUCCGCCCUCUUUCAGCCACACGCUGUUUCAUUUCCUCAUUCAUUCAGUCAGUAAGCGAGCGAGUUUUGGCGUAGAACAGCUUUUAUUAACGAUCCAGUGGAUAAAGGAGCAGCAUUACUGCACAGAUAAUUAAAUAUUCGUCGGUAGAUUGUUAUCAGACCGAGCAUAAAUGUUCUCGCAUUUCCGGACAAUUAUCGGUUUGAGCGGUACCGUUUCAUAAUCGUUUCAAGUCCAUAAUCUACAUAAACAACCUAAUCCGUCCUUACAUUUACAUUACCAACCAGUCAUGCUCUCACAUCCAGCAGAUAUUGUGUGUUGCGCUGCGGUUCUUUGCAAAUGAAAGUUUUUAUAUGAUGUCAGAGAUGCAGAGUAAGACAACUGUAUGGAGGACAGUCAGAAAAGUUUUCCUGGCUCUGAAACGACUUUUACCAUCAUUGUGGACACAAACCUGUCAGAACAUCAAGGAGGAUCCACAGGAUUACAGGUGAAUGAUGUAGAGAUCUGUUAAAUUCAUUUUAAAUCUUAUUCUGUUAAUGACAUUGUGCUGCAGCCUCAGACUGGGAUCAGUCAUUUUAAUUUCUUUUAGGAUUUCCCAGUGUGAUUGGCUGCAUAGAUGCACACACAUCCCCAUCACAGCUCCCUCACAUCAUGAACAGGAAGUCCAUUCACAGCAUAAAUGUGCAGAUCAUAUGUGAUGCUGCAUACAUCAUUUCUAAUGUGGAGGCCACGUGGUCUGGGUCUGUUCAUGACUCCAGGAUUUAUGGAGAGUCUAACCUGAGCAACAGACUGCAGCGUGGUCAGCAGCAUAAAGAUUUUCACAAUAGAAUUCUCUUGUCUCCCUCCUUUAAUAUGCUCUGAUGUAUCCACUAUACAUUACAGGAGAGUUUGAUGGCCUUCUGCUGGGUGACAGGGGUUACCAUGACAACCCAGGCUGAUGACCUCAUACCCUGACCCUGAACCAGGCCCCCAACAGAACUUCAACCGGACUCACUGCAGGACCAGAGCCCGGGUGGAGAUGACCAUAGGCCUGCUGAAAGCCCGUUUCCAGAGCCUACGUCUCCUCAGGGUGACCCCUGAGAGGGCCUGUGAUAUUACUGUGGCAUGUGUUGUUCUUCAUAAUAUUACCACUAUUAGAGGAGAGCAACACCCUGCCCUACAAACUGAAGACCCAGAUGAUGAGCCCAUCCACCUGCAGCUAUCCAGGACAGCAGAGCAGUCAGAGACACCGUAUGCAAUAAUCACUUUAGAGUUUAAGUCUCCAUCAUCACCACCACAGCAAAUAAAGACAUGAUACACAUUU